rnacentral:rRNA from 1 species
UACGGGGGGGGCAAGCGUUGUUCGGAAUUACUGGGCGUAAAGGGCUCGUAGGCGGCCAACUAAGUCAGACGUGAAAUCCCUCGGCUUAACCGGGGAACUGCGUCUGAUACUGGAUGGCUUGAGGUUGGGAGAGGGAUGCGGAAUUCCAGGUGUAGCGGUGAAAUGCGUAGAUAUCUGGAGGAACACCGGUGGCGAAGGCGGCGCUCUGGACCGAGACUGACGCUGAGGCGCGAAAGCGUGGGGAGCAAACAGG